CAAGUCGAACGCGAAAGUUCCCUUCGGGGAGCAAGUAGAGUGGCGCACGGGUGAGUAACACGUAGGUAAUCUACCUUUGGAUUGGGAAUAACACCGAGAAAUCGGUGCUAAUACCGAAUAAUGCAGCGGCACCUAAUGGUGACAGUUGUUAAAGCGGGGGAUCGCAAGACCUCGCGUCUAAAGAGGAGCCUGCGGCGGAUUAGCUAGUUGGUAAGGUAACGGCUUACCAAGGCGAUGAUCCGUAGCCGGCCUGAGAGGGCGGUCGGCCACACUGACACUGACAUACGGGUCAGACUCCUACGGGAGGCAGCAGUCGGGAAUUUUGGGCAAUGGGCGAAAGCCUGACCCAGCAACGCCGCGUGAAGGAUGAAAUCCCUCGGGAUGUAAACUUCGCAAGAACGGGAAGAAUAAGCCGGUGUUAACACCAUCGGCGAUGACGGUACUGUUUGUAAGCUCCGGCUAACUCCGUGCCAGCAGCCGCGGUAAUACGGGGGGAGCAAGCGUUGUUCGGAUUUACUGGGCGUAAAGGGCGCGUAGGCGGCCACCGCAAGUCGACUGUGAAAUCUCCGGGCUUAACUCGGAAAGGUCAGCCGAUACUGCGGGGCUAGAGUGCAGAAGGGGCAACUGGAAUUCUCGGUGUAGCGGUGAAAUGCGUAGAUAUCGAGAGGAACACCUGCGGCGAAGGCGGGUUGCUGGGCUGACACUGACGCUGAUUGUGCGAAAGCUAGGGGAGCGAACGGGAUUAGAUACCCCGGUAGUCCUAGCCUUAAACGAUGAAUGCUUGGUGUCUGGGGUUUUAUAGUCCCCGGGUGCCGUCGCUAACGCUUUAAGCAUUCCGCCUGGGGAGUACGGUCGCAAGACUGAAACUCAAAGGAAUUGACGGGGACCCC
rnacentral:rRNA from 1 species